rnacentral:misc_RNA from 1 species
AAGGAUCAUUACAGAGUUGCAAAACUCCCAAACCACUGUGAACUUACCAAUCGUUGCUUCGGCGGGCCGGCUCUACGGCCGCGCGGGUCCCCCCCCCCGGGGGAGCGCCCGCCGGAGGUAUCUAAACCAGACGUUUUUGUAUGGCCUCUCUGAGCAACUGUACCGAAUAAGUCAAAACUUUCAACAACGGAUCUCUUGGUUCUG